UUUGAAAUGAUGAUAAUAAAAGUCCGAAUUAGUACUUAGCGAAGCUAUGCUGUAUAAGAUUUCCCCAACUGAU
rnacentral:snoRNA from 1 species